UACGAAGGACCCGAGCGUUCUCCGGAUUUAUUGGGUUUAAAGGGUGCGUAGGCGUCCUGGAAAGUUACGGUUGAAAUCUCCUUGCUCAACAAGGAAACUGGCCGUAAAACUAUCAGGAUUGAGUACAUUUGAAGCGGGCGGAAUGUGUCAUGUAGCGGUGAAAUGCUUAGAUAUGACACAGAACACCAAUUGCGAAGGCAGCUCGCUAAACUGUAACUGACGCUGAGGCACGAAAGCGUGGGGAUCAAACAGG
rnacentral:rRNA from 1 species